rnacentral:rRNA from 1 species
CCUACGGGUGGCAGCAGUGAGGAAUAUUGGUCAAUGGCCGCAAGGCUGAACCAGCCAAGUCGCGUGAAGGAAGACGGAUCUAUGGUUUGUAAACUUCUUUUAUAGGGGAAUAAAGGUAUCCACGUGAGGCUAUUUGUAUGUAUCCUAUGAAUAAGCAUCCGCUAACUCCGUGCGAGCAGCCGCGGUAUUACGGAGGAUGCCAGCGUUAUCCGUAUUUAUUGGGUUUAAAGGGUGCGUAGGUUGUUUUUUAAGACAGCUGUGAAAGUUUGUGGCUCAACCAUAAAAUUGCAGUUGAAAAUGGAAGACGUGAGUGUGUAGGAGGAAGGCGGAAUGCAUGGUGUAGCGGUGAAAUGCAUAGAUAUCACGCAGAACUCCGAUGGCGAAGGCAGCUUACUAAGCCAUAACUGACGCUGAAGCACGAAAGCGUGGGGAUCAAACAGGAUUAGAUACCCUAGUAGUC